rnacentral:lncRNA from 1 species
CUGGCCCAAUUUGAUUUAUUGCUUUAUUUUCUUGUCUUUUCUUUACGUUUUUCUUCAUAUUUUUUCCAUAUUUUAAUGCUUGAUUUUAAUUCUUGAUUGUCGAUUUUAAUUGAUUUCCAUGAGUAAACAAUGAAUAAAAACAAUUUUGAUUUUAAUUGUCCAUUUAGAUUUUUAAUUAGAUUAGAAUUAGAUUUGAAUUUAGGUUUUGUUUUGUUUUGUUAAUCUACUUUGUUUAACCAUGAAAACCCCCUAAAAAGAUACUUGACUAUCCAUGUUAAUU